rnacentral:lncRNA from 1 species
GCAAUCUCGUUCCCCGAGCCUGCGAUCCUUGGGAAGGAAACGAAGGCUCUGGGAUAAUCCAUCUCAGACAUACAGAAAACUGUAUGUCGACCGAACUGCGCAUGCGUUGCCAAAAGCAAAACAAAUUGUUUUAAAUAUUUUAUUGUUUCGUCUAUAAAAUGAUGAUUUUUUCUGGGUUUUGGUGGAAAUGUUGAUGUUCUUCAUAGUGGGAUACAAAAGGUGUGUUAGUGACUGAAUAAGGAAAAUAUUGCGUGUGAAACAGGGUCAGUAUAGAGCCGGCAGGAGCCGCGAAGAGUGCUGUUGUCGAAGAAAAAUGUCACAAUUAAUUGUAAUCUUGUCCAUUCACCUCUGUGUCAGUUUAAAAAAGCUUUAAAUGUAGAGACAUUUGUGGUUCCUCCAGCAUAAUUUAGCCGUUUAACGCUACUAUGUUUCUAAUGGUUGAAAGAGCGCGUGGAAAGGGCAAUUUUCAAGAACAAAAACAAUUACAAUAGUGUGUGUUUAAUAAUUGCUACUGUAGUAUUAAAAUACCUGAAGAGAGUCUCAAUUCUAAUUAAGUCGGUUAUAAACCUUGAUAAUAUUAAAGUUUUCAGAAGAUUUGUAUAUCAGAGAAUAUUAAAAGGAAUUUAG